rnacentral:tRNA from 1 species
GCCGAAGUGGUGGAACUUGGUAGACACGCUAUCUUGAGGGGGUAGUGGCCACAAGCCGUGCCGGUUCAAGUCCGGCCUUCGGCACCA